rnacentral:rRNA from 1 species
UACGGGGGGGGCAAGCGUUGUUCGGAAUUACUGGGCGUAAAGGGCUCGUAGGCGGCCAACUAAGUCAGACGUGAAAUCCCCAGGCUCAACCUGGGAACUGCGUCUGAUACUGGAUGGCUUGAAUUCGGGAGAGGGAUGCAGAAUUCCAGGUGUAGCGGUGAAAUGCGUAGAUAUCUGGAGGAAUACCGGUGGCGAAGGCGGCAUCCUGGACCGACAUUGACGCUGAUGAGCGAAAGCUAGGGGAGCAAGCGGG